GGGGUUGGGGAUUUAGCUCAGUGGUAGAGCGCUUGCCUAGGAAGCGCAAGGCCCUGGGUUCGGUCCCCAGCUCCGAAAAAAAGAACCAAAGAAAAUAAAUAAAUAAAAUAUCUCUUU
rnacentral:scRNA from 1 species